UGGUCAAAGGCGAACUGAUCAUAGAUCAGCUUGUUGAGUUCUUUAUGGUGAAAUCUGCCUACCCAAUUUCAAGUCUUUGACUUUACGCUCAUAUGUUUUUGAAUUUAUUCUAAGAUUUAAUGACGAUAUGCUUUUAGUGGUAGGCGACGUGCUCAUCGACAACGAGGUGCCGGUGGUGACUUUGUCAAUCUUAAGAUUUGUCGGUCUAACUUGGUUCUUCGAAAGUACUUAUAGGGAUAGAUGUGUAUGCGUGCGUGUGUUUAUAGGAAUAAGUCUGUGUCCUAUCUGAAUCUCGAAAAAAAUAGUAAUGAUAACAAAGAGAAAAAGAAAAAAAGAUGAGGCGAUCCUCGCACGACGUGGCCGUAACCUUGUGGGCG
rnacentral:lncRNA from 1 species